AUCCCCAAGCUACAUUCUAAGGUUUACUAGUUCCUUAGGGUCACAUGGAGCAUGCCUCUCCCUCGCAUUACCUCAGCCCUCUCAUCCGCUCUCUCCCCUUCGUCCCCUGCCAAGUUCCUCCUCACUCUCCUCUCACAAUCACAACAACAACCUUUCCAAAAUGACACCAAGGAGGUUUGAAAUGACGAUGACGAUAAGGACCGCGAGAACAACAACGUCAUUUCAUUCGUGAAGAUCCUCACUCCCUCCGACGCCAACAAUGGCGACGACUUCUUUGUGCCACGCUUCUGCGCCGACUCGUGCUUCCCUCCACUCGACUUUCGCACCGAUCUGCCUGUCUAGCUCCUCUCUGUCGCUGACAUCCACGGUGUCGAGUGGCGCUUCCGCCACAUCUACCAUGGCACGCCACGCCACCACUUCUUCACCAUCGGCUGGAGCAAGUUUGUCAAUCAUAAGAAGCUCGUCGCCGGCGACACUGUCAUUUUCGUCAAGGACUCCCACGAUGGAAUGGUCUCGCCCCACGCAGCUAGGAGAAAUACCAUCUCCACGUGCUGGACAUGCUGGUGUGACAGUAGGGGAAAACUGGUUCAUUGUUAGUGGUGGUGACAAUAAGAGUGGGGUCUCUGAAACGAUUGUACUGAAUAUGUCUACACUGACUUGGUCAGUGGUAACUUCUGUUCAAGGACGAGUUCCUGUUGCCAGUGAGCAGAGUCAAUGGUAUAUGGUGUUGUGUUGUUUCAGGAGCUCUUGACAAGACAUAAAUCUAUUGUAGCUGAAUUCCUUUCCAAGAAUUAUGAAUGGGAUAUGAACCAACAAAAGAUUGGUACAAUUGAGAUGGUGGAAGGACUUUAUAGACUCAAGAUGAUUUCAUUCAAGUCUAAGUACAAGUCUGAUUUUGUUAAUUCUAGCAUUUUCAAUGUUUCUGCCUUUUCAUGUAAUAAAAUACCUAUAGAUCUAUGGCACUAUAGACUUGGUCAUCCAUCUUUAGAAAGAUUGUUGUUAUUAAAAUAAUUUUAUCCUAUACUUACAUCAGAUAAGCAAUUUGUGUGUGAAACUUGUCAUCAUUCAAAACAGAAAUGAUUAUCAUUUCCUAGUAGUGAAUCACAUUCUUCUUGUGCUUUUGCUCUUAUACAUGUUGAUAUCUGGGUCCUUGCAAUGUAACUUCAUUAAAUGGUUACAAGUAUUUCCUUACUAUAAUAUAUGAUUACUCAAGGUUUGUUUGGGUUUUUCUCAUGCAUUCAAAGGCUAAGACACAAUCUCAUUUAAAGAAUUUUGUUGCCAAUGUUGAAAGGCAGUUUAAGUUAAACGUGAAAGUGAUUAGGUUAGAUAAUGGAUCAAAGUUUAUCAUGAGACAAUUUUAUGAUGAUACUGAUAUUGUGCAUCAAACUACUUGUAUUGAAACACCCCAACAGAAUGGCAUUGUUGAAAGAAAGCAUCAACAUUUGCUCAAUGUGACUCGAUCUUUGUUAUUUCAAUCAAAUCUUCCAACUGUCUUCUGGUCCUAUGCAUUGGUUCACUUUGUUGUUCUUAUCAAUUGCAUGUCCUCUCCCUUUCUUAAUAAUCAUACUCCCUAUGAAAAAUUACAUGGAAGCAUCUAUGAUAUUGAGUCAUUAAGAGUGUUUGAGUGUUUAUGUUUUUCUAGUACUCUAGUAGUUAACAGAAAGAAACUAGAUCCUAGGGCUGUCACUUCUGUAUUUUUAGGUUUUAAGCCAAACACCAAAUUAUUCAUUAUUUUUUUAAUCUUAAAACCAAGGCCAUAUUUGUCUUUAGGAGUAUGAUCUUCUAUGAGGAUUGUUUUCCAUUCAUUGGCCAAGACAAACUUGAUCAUGUCACUGUCUUUUCUAUUCCUUCUUCUUAUUCCAUUGAUCAAUCUUAUGGUGUCUCAUCAAAAUUACCAACUGAUCAUAUCAUGCUUGUGCCGAAUAAUACUAAUUCUGAUCUCUUGACUUUAGAGCAAUCCUCUAAUAUAACUAGAAGAUCUCUGAGACAGACACACAAAUCAAGCAAGUAUAAGGACUUCCAUGUUUCAUACCCAUCUUCAAUUGUAGCUAGUUAUUUUGCAAGUACUUGGCUCUAUCCUCUUACUUCCGUUCUUUCCAAUAGCAGAUUGUCUCCUUCUUAUGACAAUAUCAUUUUAUCUAUUACACUAAAUUUUGAACCUCAGUCCUAUAAUGAAGCUUCUAAGGAUCCUGUCUAGAUAGAGGCAAUGAAUGCAAGAAUUAUGGCUUUAGAACUUAAUGAUACUUUGGUUUUGACUGAUUUGCCUCACAUAAGAAUGUUAUUGGCUGUAAGUAGGUGUAUAAGAUCAAGCACAGAUCUAAUGGGUUAGUGGAAAGACAUAAAGUCAGGUUAGUGGCCAAGGGCUACCCUUAAGUGGAAAGGCAAGAUUACCGAGACACCUUUUCUCCAAUGGCCAAGCUAACCACAAUGAAACUUCUAUUGGCCUUAACUACUAUCAAUAAAUGGUAUCUUAAGCAAUUAGAUGUGAAUAAUGCUUUCUUACAUGGUGAUUUGAAUGAAGAGGUGUACAUGAUACUUCCUCAAGGUAUGCAGGUAGCCAAGUCUGGGCAAGUUAGUAAGUUGCAAAGGUCCCUAUAUGGACUGAAACAAGCCAACAUACAGUGGUAUGCCAGACUGUCUUCCUUUCUGAUUUCACAUGGGUACAAGUGUUGAUGGAUUGGAAAGUGCUCCAAUUCGUCCUAAGUAGUAAAAUUAAAAUGAAAGUUCGAGUGUUGAAUCCAUGGGAACACUGUUUGUACUUAGGUAGAUGAAUAUUUUAUUAAUAAAAGAAGUUAAAUAAAAUUGACUAG